rnacentral:rRNA from 1 species
CCUACGGGAGGCAGCAGUGGGGAAUAUUGGACAAUGGGGGGAACCCUGCUCCAGCGACGCCGCGUGAGUGAAGAAGUAUUUCGGUAUGUACAGCUCUAUCAGCAGGGAAGAAAGAAAUGACGGUACCUGACUAAGAAGACCCGGCUAACUACGUGCCAGCAGCCGCGGUAAUACGUAGGGGGCAAGCGUUAUCCGGAUUUACUGGGUGUAAAGGGAGCGUAGACGGGGAUGCAAGUCUGAAGUGAAAGGCGGGGGCCCAACCCCCGGACUGCUUUGGAAACUGUAUGGCUUGAGUGCAGGGGAGGUAAGUGGAAUUCCUGGUGUAGCGGUGAAAUGCGUAGAUAUUAGGAUGAACACCAGGUGCGAAGGCGGCUUACUGGACUGUAACUGACGUUGAGGCUCGAAAGCGUGGGGAGCAAACAGGAUUAGAUACCCCGGUAGUC